GAAGCGGCCGUUUUGAUUGGUUUCCAGUCUGGCGCGGGGUCUCCUGGGAUCGGAAGAAGUUGUCUUUCCGCACGGAAGUUGACUACUUUGAGUCAUUAGAGUGAGCCACGGCGAGUUUGUGGGAAUAAGAUGGCGGGGAAGAAGAACGUUCUGUCGUCUCUUGCAGUUUACGCGGAAGAUUCAGAGCCCGAAUCUGACGGCGAGGCUGGAGUCGAAGCGGUGGGCAGCGCAGCUGAAGAGAAAGGUGGGUUGGUAUCUGAUGCCUAUGGAGAGGACGACUUUUCUCGCCUAGGGGGUGACGAAGAUGGUUAUGAAGAAGAGGAGGACGAGAACAGCAAACAGUCGGAAGAUGACGAUUCAGAGACUGAAAAACCUGAGGCUGAUGACCCAAAGGAUAAUACGGAAGUAGAAAAGCGAGACCCCCAGGAAUUAGUUGCCUCCUUUUCUGAAAGAGUCCGGAACAUGUCGCCUGAUGAAAUCAAGAUCCCUCCAGAACCCCCUGGCAGAUGUUCAAAUCACUUACAAGACAAGAUCCAGAAGCUUUAUGAGCGAAAGAUAAAGGAGGGAAUGGAUAUGAACUACAUUAUCCAAAGGAAGAAAGAAUUUCGGAACCCCAGCAUCUACGAGAAGCUGAUUCAGUUCUGUGCCAUUGACGAGCUUGGCACCAACUACCCAAAGGAUAUGUUUGACCCCCAUGGCUGGUCUGAGGACUCCUACUACGAGGCAUUAGCUAAGGCCCAGAAGAUUGAAAUGGACAAAUUGGAAAAGGCCAAAAAGGAGCGAACCAAAGCUUGUUGCAGGGACGUGUCUGCAGCGCCUGGGGACCGGAGCUGUCCUUCCCCUGUGCGGGCGGGCACCGCCUCCUCCUGGGUGUGAGGAGGAGGGGCCUGGCCAAACGGUCCUGGGCAUGUGAGGUGGGCGGAGGGCAGCGGGGUGCCGGGCGUGUGCAGAGACCAGGUGAUGCCGGGAGGGACCCGCUGCUUUUUAGAAAGCUUUUCUCUGAGUGGUUAAAAGCCCCUUCAGGCUCUUUUUAGACACCUCUCCCUCCCCCAAGAUGGUCACAGCAGAGUUGAUUUUCAAUGCCUCCUUUGUAUAAUGCCAAAUUCCUGUCCCCUGGGAGCAGACGGAUGGCAAAAGGAUUUGGAUGCACAGCUUUUACUCUCUUCCUUCUCCCCCUCCAGAUUGAGUUUGUGACAGGCACCAAGAAAGGCACCACGACCAACGCCACAGCCACCACCACCACCACCGCCAGCACUGCUGUUGCAGAUGCCCAAAAGAGAAAAAGCAAGUGGGACUCAGCCAUCCCAGUGACGACAAUAGCCCAGCCCACCAUCCUCACCACCACAGCCACCCUGCCAGCUGUCGUGACGGUCACCACCAGCGCCAGUGGCUCCAAGACCACUGUCAUCUCUGCCGUGGGCACCAUUGUGAAGAAGGCCAAGCAGUGACUUGAGGAGCUGCCCUGAGACUUGAAAGGACUGUGUAGCCCAGUGACCGCUGCCCACUGGGGAAGUGCCACUUUGUAUAUUUCAGGACUGGGACCUGCUCCCCAGAAGCCACCUGAAAGGAGCUUCUGUGUGACAUUCCAGCCAGAA